UGAUCAUGGCUCAGAUUGAACGCUGGCGGCAGGCCUAACACAUGCAAGUCGAACGGUAACAGAAAGCAGCUUGCUGCUUUGCUGACGAGUGGCGGACGGGUGAGUAAUGUCUGGGAAACUGCCUGAUGGAGGGGGAUAACUACUGGAAACGGUAGCUAAUACCGCAUAACGUCGCAAGACCAAAGAGGGGGACCUUCGGGCCUCUUGCCAUCGGAUGUGCCCAGAUGGGAUUAGCUAGUAGGUGGGGUAACGGCUCACCUAGGCGACGAUCCCUAGCUGGUCUGAGAGGAUGACCAGCCACACUGGAACUGAGACACGGUCCAGACUCCUACGGGAGGCAGCAGUGGGGAAUAUUGCACAAUGGGCGCAAGCCUGAUGCAGCCAUGCCGCGUGUAUGAAGAAGGCCUUCGGGUUGUAAAGUACUUUCAGCGGGG
rnacentral:rRNA from 1 species